rnacentral:tRNA from 1 species
UAGGGGAACCUGCGGCUGGAUCACCUCCUUUCUAAGGAUGAUCCUUCAGAUCAGCUCACGCUAUCUAUCGGAUCGUUUUAGAAACAUUCAGGGGCCAACAGUUUCAGGAUUGUUGAGCUCCAUUGGCGGGAUUUCGCCGUCUUCGUUUCUCUUUCUUCGCGGACGAACACGCGCCAGGGGCUGAGCGCUGUGCGGCGCACCGACUAAACGUCGCGUGCGCGCCGGCAUGUCUCUCGUGUUAGGGGCUUGUAGCUCAGUUGGUUAGAGCGCGCGCUUGAUAAGCGUGAGGUCGGAAGUUCAAGUCUUCCCAGGCCCACCAUUUUGAUCGAGUGCGGAGCAUUCGUCUUCUGGUACGGGGCCAUAGCUCAGCUGGGAGAGCGCGUGCUUUGCAAGCAUGAGGUCGUCGGUUCGAUCCCGUCUGGCUCCACCAGAUGGUUUGAUCACCAACGGCGUUACCGUCGUCCGCGAAACAUCACUUCCCACUCAUUGGUCCGGAUGGACGGUGACGUGCGUGUUUUCUGACAUCGUAAAGAGGAGAUCGAUCCGAGUUUGGAUCAAGCGAAGCAAUUCGCCUGAACCAUUCAUUAUCUCCGGGAUCAUUUCGGCGCUCGCUUUCAAUCGUGAGAUUGGAUGCGGGUUGUAAAUGAUCCCUUUUAGCGAAGCUUGACCGCCUCGCUAUCGGGCCGAUCUUACGAAGCAAGCUGGUCUUUCUAGUCAAUGUCCGGCUGCGCGAUCGCAUUCAUCGAGGAUGCGCGCCUUCAGUGGCAAUUGUGCAGACAACAUUCUGCCGAGUGUGUGGACAUUGAUAAUGAGAGCA